AACGGUCUAUACCUGCGGUACCUGCGGAGGGAUCAUUACCGAGUUAUCAACUCCCAAACCCCUGUGAACAUACCCGAACGUUGCCUCGGCGGGACCGCCCCGGCGCCCCUAGCGGCCCGGAACCAGGCGCCCGCCGGAGGACCCAAACUCUUGCUUUAAACGGUGGCAUACUCUCUGAGUCUCACAAACAAAAAAUAAAUCAAAACUUUCAACAACGGAUCUCUAGAUCGGAAGAGCACA
rnacentral:misc_RNA from 1 species